UACUGCUGUCGGGAUGGGAAUAAGCCAUGCGAGUUGUGCGCCUCUUAGCCACGGUUGAGGCGCAGCAUACGGCUCAGUAACACGUGGCUAACCUACCCUCGGGACGGGGACAACCCCGGGAAACUAGGGCUAUCCCCGGUGGGUGAGGAGUCCUGGAACGGUUCCUCAUUGAAAGGAUGCCAGAACCAUGCUUUCUGAUAUCGCCCUAGGAUGGGGCCGCGUCUGAUCAGGUUGUUGGUGAGGUAACGGCCCACCAAGCCUAUAACCAGUACGGGCUGUGAGAGCGGAAGCCCGGAGAUGGGCACUGAGACAAGGGCCCAGGCCCUACGGGGCGCAGCAGGUGCGAAAACUCCACAAUGCACGAAAGUGUGAUGGGGCCAUCCCGAGUGCCGUCCGCUGAGGACUGCUUUUCCACGCUGUAAGGAGGCGUGGGAAUAAGGAGAGGGCAAGCCUGGUGUCAGCCGCCGCGGUAAUACCAGCUCUCCGAGUGGUGGGGAUGUUUAUUGGGCCUAAAGCAUCCGUAGCUGGCCAAGCAAGUCCCUUGUUAAACCCACCGAAUUAAUCGUUGGCGUGCGGGGGAUACUGCUCGGCUAGGGGACGAGAGAGGCAGACGGUAUUCUCGGGGUAGGGGUGAAAUCCUAUAAUCCCGAGAAGACCACCAGUGGCGAAGGCUGUCUGCUAGAACGCGCCCGACGGUGAGGGAUGAAAGCUGGGGUAGCGAACCGGAUUAGACACCCGGGUAGUCCCAGCUGUAAACGAUGCGGGCUAGGUGUUGGGGCAGCUACGUGCUGCUCCAGUGCCGCAGAGAAGUCGUUAAGCCUGCCGCUUGGGAAGUACGGCCGCAAGGCUGAAACUUAAAGGAAUUGGCGGGGGAGCACCACAAGGGGUGAAGC
rnacentral:rRNA from 1 species